rnacentral:misc_RNA from 2 species
CAGAGUUCAUGCCCUCACGGGUAGAUCUCCCACCCUUGUGUAUUUAUACCUUUGUUGCUUUGGCAGGCCGCUGGGCUUUGGCCCGGCCACCGGCUGUGAGGCUGGUGCGUGCCUGCCGGAGGAUCUCCAAACUCUGGUUAUCAGUGUUGUCUGAGUAUUAUACAAUCGUUA